UGAAUGGCUUGACGAGAAAUCAACUGUCUCUUAAUAAUUUUUAAAAUUUAACUUUUGAGUCAAAAGGCUUAAAUUUUUCUUUAGGACGAGAAGACCCUAUAGAGCUUAACAUUUUAUUUUUAUAUAGUUUUUAGUUGAUCUUUCUAUAUUUAAUGAUAAUGUUUUGUUGGGGUGACAUGAAGAAUAAUUAAACUCUUCAUUAUAGAAUCAUUGAUUUAUGUUUAUCAUGAUCCAUAAUUUAUGAUCAUAAGAUUAAGUUACCUUAGGGAUAACAGCGUAAUUGUUUUCGAGAGCUCAUAUCGACAAAGCAGAUUGCGACCUC
rnacentral:rRNA from 1 species